rnacentral:rRNA from 1 species
GAUGAACGCUAGCGGCAGGCCUAAUACAUGCAAGUCGAACGGGAUUGCGGUAGUAGCUUGCUACUACUGCAUGAGGGUGGCGCACGGGUGCGUAACGCGUGAGCAACCUACCCAUAUCAGGGGGAUAGCCCGGCGAAAGUCGGAUUAACACCGCAUAACAUCAACAGUUCGCAUGUUCAGUUGAUUAAAUAUUUAUAGGAUAUGGAUGGGCUCGCGUGACAUUAGCUAGUUGGUAGGGUAACGGCUUACCAAGGCAACGAUGUCUAGGGGCUCUGAGAGGAGAAUCCCCCACACUGGUACUGAGACACGGACCAGACUCCUACGGGAGGCAGCAGUAAGGAAUAUUGGUCAAUGGGCGCAAGCCUGAACCAGCCAUGCCGCGUGCAGGAGGACUGCCCUAUGGGUUGUAAACUGCUUUUAUCAGGGAAUAAACCCCUUUACGAGUAGAGGGUUGAAUGUACCUGAAGAAUAAGGAUCGGCUAACUCCGUG